rnacentral:rRNA from 1 species
GACGAACGCUGGCGGCGUGCUUAACACAUGCAAGUAGAACGAAGUGGCGAACGGGUGAGUAAUACGUAAGUAACCUGCCCUCCUUUUUGGGAUAAGCCUUGGAAACGGGGUCUAAUACCGAAUAAAGGGGGAUGGGCUCGCGGCCUAUCAGCUUGUUGGUGGGGUGAUGGCCUACCAAGGCGGUGACGGGUAGCCGGCCUGAGCGGGUGACCGGCCACAUUGGGACUGAGAAACGGCCUAUAGUCCUACGGGGGGGAGCAGUGGGGGAUAUUGCCCAAUGGGCGAAAGCCUGAUGCAGCGACGCCGCGUGGGGGUUGAAGGCUUUCGGGUUGUAAACCUCUUUCGCUACCGUACGGGUAGGUGGAGAAGAAGCGCCGGCUAACUACGUGCCAGCAGCCGCGGUAAUUC